AUGCACCUAACAUUGGUGCUACCCACCAUAAAACCGAAGAAGAGCUGGAACUUUUCUUUGGGAGUUUGGGAGGGAAUUAAAGUGGAACACAUCCGGGUUUCCCUGAGUCCGACGUGUCAAAGCCUCAUGAGGACUGUUAGUGAGGCUGUGAGUAAAAGGAAUAAAGGACUUGAGAGAAAAAGGAACAAAGGGCUUAAGAGAGAUGCUGUCACUUGUUCUUUAUUGGAGGAGUUCACCUGCAUCCUUUUCUACUUGACAAGAUGUACAAGGAGUUCACCUGCAUCCUUUUUGAUUGGUAUGUGGUGGGAAUGCACCAUUCAAGUUGUUCUGCAAACCACCAUUAAUACCAGAAGAAGAACCAGGAAGUUGGUCACCAGAUAACACGGUCAGCAGCGGUCACCGGUA
ensembl:lncRNA